rnacentral:misc_RNA from 1 species
UCCCGGUUAACCCGGGCAGUCUCAUUAGAGUUCCCACCAUAACGUGUUGGCAACUAAUGAUAAGGGUUGCGCUCGUUGCUGGACUUAACCAAACACCUCACGGCACGAGCUGACGACAGCCAUGCAGCACCUGUAUACCGGCCCCGAAGGGAAAUAACAUUUCUGCUAUCGUCCAGUAUAUGUCAAGUCUGGGUAAGGUUCUUCGCGUUGCAUCGAAUUAAACCACAUGCUCCACUGCUUGUGCGGGUCCCCGUCAAUUCUUUUGAGUUUCAGCCUUGCGACUGUACUCCCCAGGCGGUAUACUUAACGCGUUUGCUACGGCACAACUAGGGUUGAGUCCAGUUACACCAAGUAUACAUAGUUUACGGCAAGGACUAC